UACGUAGGGUGCAAGCGUUUAAUCGGAAUUACUGGGCGUAAAGCGUGCGCAGGCGGUUUUGUAAAGUCUGUCGUGAAAGCCCCGGGCUCAACCUGGGAAUUGCGAUGGAGACUGCAAGGCUUGAAUCUGGCAGAGGGGGGGUAGAAUUCCACGUGUAGCAGUGAAAAUGCGUAGAGAUGUGGAGGAACACCGAUGGCGAAGGCAGCCCCCCUGGGUCAAGAUUGACGCUCAUGCACGAAAAGCGUGGGGGAGCAAACAGG
rnacentral:rRNA from 1 species